UACGUAGGGUGCGAGCGUUGUCCGGAAUUAUUGGGCGUAAAGAGCUCGUAGGCGGUUUGUCGCGUCGACUGUGAAAACCUACAGCUUAACUGUGGGCUUGCAGUCGAUACGGGCAGACUUGAGUUCGGUAGGGGAGACUGGAAUUCCUGGUGUGGCGGUGGAAUGCGCAGAUAUCAGGAGGAACACCGGUGGCGAAGGCGGGUCUCUGGGCCGAUACUGACACUGAGAAGCGAAAGCGUGGGGAGCGAACAGG
rnacentral:rRNA from 1 species